GGCUCGAUAGCGUAGUGGAAAAAACGCACUCCGUAUCCUUUCACCCCAGUGUUUGACUUACGGAGAGUCCAGAGUUCGAUCCUCCGUCGAGCCU